rnacentral:lncRNA from 10 species
ACUGACUGAAGCAAAAGAAUAGAAAGGGCUCCCAGGAACUAAUGCUGAAGAUAAAUGGGGGUAUUAGGGGUAGAGGAGAUGUGUAAAGAGAGGGCUUUGGAGGAUAAGAAGGGCGAGGACACUGAGAAAUAAAGAUAAACACAUCAGACUCUGUUGCAGUCUGAAGGUUUGCACUAGCUAACAAGGCCAACAGACCUACUUGGAGCAGGGUCAUGACAGGACAGGGGAGCGGGGGUAGUCUCCAGGAUGCAGGGAAGAAUGGUGCAUGACAGUUAGGCGGGGAAGAACAUUCACCUGGUGUCCUUGGAAUUCUCAUAGCUGAUGGUGGAAAUGGGAAAAGGCACUACAGUAUUCUUAAAUUCAUAACUACCCUGUAGCUGAUCUGUACUCAACCAGGAUUGUAUACUGGGGAUGGCAGAUGGUUUAGUUUCGGAGUAUAGUGGCAGAACAAAUAUCCUUAGAACUCACUGGCUCACCUUUUCCAUGUGUGAGACAAGAAUAUAAUAAAAAGAAAGGGAAGCAGAAACCAUCCUGAUCCACAGAUGCUACUUCCUGGGGAGCCUCUUCUGACACCGGAUACCAGGGGCAGCCAGGAAAGGGGAAAGAUGAACUCCCAGGACUGGUGCUGCAACUUUCUUCCGGGCUGCAUGCUCCUGGUCUGCACACAAUUGUAAUCAUGAUGCUUUUGCAAUGGAUACUAUUGGCUGCCUGUCCUCUUCUUCCUCCCAUCCUAACAGGACAGUCCUCUGAUUUGGUUCUGGUGUCAGCUUUUCUUCAUUUAGUCCUGUGAUUUAGGGAAGAAAUAUGUGACAGUUCUGCAGUCAAUUAUUGGUCUAGGUGAGGCAUGAGAUUUAACUACGCCCAAGCAUGGCCUUAUGUUUCACGAUGAGGGGAGAGAUUGUCUCACCUACAGGAAAUAAACAAGAUAGUAAGUUGUGCUAGUCAUGGCUGGUAGCCUUCUUGAAUGAGGACAGGUGAUUCAGUAACCUAUGAGGACAGGGAACCUGCAGACAAAACGUACACAUAGGCACAUAGAAGACAUCUGAAUCAAAUGAGCUGUAGGCAAACAAAACUGGAACCCUGGUCAUUUUGUAGCUCUGCCCUCCCUCAGUAACCUACAGAAUCAAGUGCCCAGUGUCUUUAAUAGGCUAUUUGGAAGAAUGCGAUUCAGGUACUUCCAGUCAGAUACAUCCGUGCAAGACUUGGAUAGAGCAAGAGGAGGAGGAAGCUGCUGGUAUGAGCCCCAAAGUCUCCUGUUUAGGAGGUAAAAUAAAUUCUGAACUAUGGUGCAAAGAGUGUUGCAAUGUUGCUUCAAGGGAGAGGCUCUUGCUGGUGAGUGAAGAAACUCUACUUGUUCAUGACUGUGUUGGUUUCUCUCCUGGCACCUUGACCCUGUGAUGCUUUAUGGGAGGAUACACACAAGUGAUAUUUCAUUUCAUGCAGAGCUCUCUGCCUAGAUGUCAGCAGACUGCUUUUUCACUUUCUGUCUGAAAGUUCAGGUCACUGAGCAGAGAGUUAGUUUAUCAAAAUUACUUACCUAGACAAAAUUCAGGUACAAUCUAAAAAUCUGUACUUACAUAUGUAUAAAUGACUGUUGUGACUUCUGCCAUGUUUGUUCUUUAAAAUAAAAAUAAGGACAAUUGCCUUUGGGUUCUGUCAGUCACUAAUGUUGCAUAGAUGAACUGUAGA